rnacentral:rRNA from 1 species
CCAGACUCCUACGGGAGGCAGCAGUGGGGAAUAUUGGGCAAUGGGCGCAAGCCUGACCCAGCAACGCCGCGUGAAGGAAGAAGGCUUUCGGGUUGUAAACUUCUUUUAAGAGGGAAGAGCAGAAGACGGUACCUCUUGAAUAAGCCACGGCUAACUACGUGCCAGCAGCCGCGGUAAUACGUAGGGGGCAAGCGUUAUCCGGAUUUACUGGGUGUAAAGGGAGCGUAGACGGCAGUGCAAGUCCGGAGUGAAAGCCCGGGGCUCAACCCUGGGACUGCUCUGGAAACUGUAAAGCUGGAGUGCGGGAGGGGCAGGCGGAAUUUCUGGUGUAGCGGUGAAAUGCGUAGAUAUCAGGAGGAACACCGGCGGCGAAGGCGGCCUGCUGGACGACAACGGACGGUGAGGCGCGAAAGCGUGGGGAGCAACCAGGAUUAGAUACCCCAGUAGC